rnacentral:rRNA from 1 species
GAUGAACGCUGGCGGCGUGCCUAAUACAUGCAAGUCGAGCGAACGGACGAGAAGCUUGCUUCUCUGAUGUUAGCGGCGGACGGGUGAGUAACACGUGGAUAACCUACCUAUAAGACUGGGAUAACUUCGGGAAACCGUAGCUAAUACCGGAUAAUAUUUUGAACCGCAUGGUUCAAAAGUGAAAGACGGUCUUGCUGUCACUUAUAGAUGGAUCCGCGCUGCAUUAGCUAGUUGGUAAGGUAACGGCUUACCAAGGCAACGAUGCAUAGCCGACCUGAGAGGGUGAUCGGCCACACUGGAACUGAGACACGGUCCAGACUCCUACGGGAGGCAGCAGUAGGGAAUCUUCCGCAAUGAGCGAAAGCCUGACGGAGCAACGCCGCGUGAGUGAUGAAGGUCUUCGGAUCGUAAAACUCUGUUAUUAGGGAAGAACAUAUGUGUAAGUAACUGUGCACAUCUUGACGGUACCUAAUCAGAAAGCCACGGCUAACUACGUG